rnacentral:rRNA from 1 species
UACGUAGGGGGCAAGCGUUGUCCGGAAUCAUUGGGCGUAAAGCGCGUGUAGGCGGCUCGGUAAGUCCGCUCUGAAAGCCCGGGGCUCAACCCCGGGAGGCGGGUGGAUACUGCUGAGCUCGAGUCCGGAAGAGGAGUGUGGAAUUCCCAGUGUAGUGGUGAAAUACGUAGAGAUUGGGAAGAACACCAGUGGCGAAGGCGGCUAUCUGGACGGUUUCUGACGCUAAGACGCGAAAGCGUGGGGAGCAAACAGG